UACGUAGGGUGCGAGCGUUGUCCGGAAUUAUUGGGCGUAAAGAGCUUGUAGGUGGUUUGUCGCGUCUGCUGUGAAAAUCCGAGGCUCAACCUCGGACUUGCAGUGGGUACGGGCAGACUAGAGUGUGGUAGGGGAGACUGGAAUUCCUGGUGUAGCGGUGGAAUGCGCAGAUAUCAGGAGGAACACCGAUGGCGAAGGCAGGUCUCUGGGCCAUUACU
rnacentral:rRNA from 1 species